rnacentral:rRNA from 1 species
UACGUAGGGUCCGAGCGUUGUCCGGAAUUACUGGGCGUAAAGAGCUCGUAGGUGGUUUGUCGCGUUGUUCGUGAAAACUCACAGCUCAACUGUGGGCGUGCGGGCGAUACGGGGCAGACUAGAGUACUGCAGGGGGAGACUGGAAUUCCUGGGUGUAGCGGGUGGGAAUGCGCAGAUAUCAGGAGGGAAACACCCGGGUG